rnacentral:tRNA from 1 species
CGAAAUGUAGUUUAAUUAGAGAACGUUGGCUUUGGGGGUCAUCGGUAGGGGUUCAAGUCCUCUUGUUUCGA